UUCUAACCGUAAACGAUGCCAACAAGCGAUCUGUGGGGCGUAAAUCUAUGACCUCACAGGGAGCUACCGGGAAACCAAAGUCUUUGGGUUCCGGGGGAAGUAUGGUUGCAAAGCUGAAACUUAAAGGAAUUGACGGAAGGGCACCACAAGGAAUGGAGCCUGCGGCUUAAUUUGACUCAACGCGGGAAAACUCACCCGGCCCGGACACCGUAAGGAUUGACAGAUUGAGAGCUCUUUCUUGAUUCGGUGGGUAGUGGUGCAUGGCCGUUCUUAGUUGGUGGAGUGAUUUGUCUGGUUAAUUCCGAUAACGAACGAGACUCUAGCCUGCUAAAUAGUUGCUGAAUUUCACAGUUCAGUAUACUUCUUAGAGGGACAAGGGGUAUUUAGCCCCAUGAGAUUGAGCAAUAACAGGUCUGUGAUGCCCUUAGAUGUCCGGGGCUGCACGCGCGCUACACUGAUGGAGCCAACAUGUGUUGUUCCUGGUCUGGAAAGACCGGGUAACCAUGUGAAACUCUUUCGUGGUUGGGAUAGGGCAUUGUAAUUAUUGCCCUUGAACUAGGAACUCCUAGUAAAUGCGGUUCAUUAUAUCGCGUUG
rnacentral:rRNA from 1 species